rnacentral:rRNA from 1 species
UACAUGGGGUGCAAACGUUGCUCGGAAUUAUUGGGCGUAAAGCGCACGUAGGUGGUCUGUUAUGUCGGAUGUGAAAGCCCUCGGCUCAACUGAGGAAGUGCAUCCGAAACUGGCAGGCUUGAGUAUGUAAGAGGGUCGCGGAAUUCCCGGUGUAGAGGUGAAAUUCGUAGAUAUUGGGAGGAACACCAGUGGCGAAGGCGGCUCACUGGACCGGUACUGACGCUGAUGCGCGAAAGCGUGGGGAGCAAACGGG